UCGCCUCUUGCUCUCCCAUAAGAGGUCCAGCCUGCCCAGUGACUUAGUUCAACGGCCGCGGUACCCUAACCGUGCGAAGGUAGCGUAAUCACUUGUCUUCCAAAUAGAGACUAGUAUGAAAGGCAUCACGAGAAUUAAACUGUCUCCUUUUUCUAAUCAGUGAAACUAAUCUUCCCGUGAAGAAGCGGGAAUCCAAAAAUAAGACGAGAAGACCCUAUGGAGCUUUAAACACUAACCACCUGCCCAAUCCUAUAAGACCCCGGUUCCUAAACCAACGCAUCAUGACUACGUGUUUUUGAUUGGGGCGACCACGGAAAAUAAUCAAACCUCCGUAAUGAAAACCUACAAGCCACAGCUUUAAGUAUCAACAAAUUGACAUCCAUUGACCCAAUAUAUUGACUAAUGAACCAA
rnacentral:rRNA from 1 species